rnacentral:rRNA from 1 species
ACGCUCGACACCUACGGGGGCAGCAGUGGGGAAUAUUGGGCAAUGGGGGAAACCCUGACCCAGCAACGCCGCGUGAGGGAAGAAGGUUUUCGGAUUGUAAACCUCUGUCCUUGGGGACGAAGGAAGUGACGGUACCCAAGGAGGAAGCUCCGGCUAACUACGUGCCAGCAGCCGCGGUAAUCUGAGGCGGGCGUGGACGAAGGCC